UACGAAGGGUGCAAACGUUGCUCGGAAUUAUUGGGCGUAAAGCGCACGUAGGCGGCUUAGCAAGUCGGAAGUGAAAUCCCUCGGCUCAACCAAGGAAGUGCUUUCGAAACUGCUGAGCUUGAGUACGAAAGAGGAUCGCGGAAUUCCCGGUGUAGAGGUGAAAUUCGUAGAUAUCGGGAGGAACACCAGUGGCGAAGGCGGCUUUCUGGGCCUUACCUGACGCUGAGACGCGAAAGCGUGGGGAGCGAACCGG
rnacentral:rRNA from 1 species